AUACGAAGGGGGCAAGCGUUGUUCGGAAUAACUGGGCGUAAAGCGCACGUAGGCGGAAUGUUAAGUUAGAGGUGAAAUCCCAGGGCUCAACCCUGGAACUGCCUUUAAUACUGGCAAUCUAGAGACCGAGAGAGGUGAGUGGAAUUCCGAGUGUAGAGGUGAAAUUCGUAGAUAUUCGGAGGAACACCAGUGGCGAAGGCGGCUCACUGGCUCGGAACUGACGCUGAGGUGCGAAAGCGUGGGGAGCAAACAGGAUUAGAAACCCCAGUAGUCC
rnacentral:rRNA from 1 species